UACGGAGGGUGCAAGCGUUAUCCGGAUUCACUGGGUUUAAAGGGUGCGUAGGCGGGCAGGUAAGUCCGUGGUGAAAUCUCUGAGCUUAACUCAGAAACUGCCAUGGAUACUAUUUGUCUUGAAUAUUGUGGAGGUAAGCGGAAUAUGUCAUGUAGCGGUGAAAUGCUUAGAUAUGACAUAGAACACCAGUUGCGAAGGCAGCUUACUACACAGUUAUUGACGCUGAGGCACGAAAGCGUGGGGGAUCAAACAGG
rnacentral:rRNA from 1 species